UUGCACUGAUCUGAUGCACUCCAUGCAGUGCUCUGGUUUUAGGAAGACAAAACAUUUAUAAAGUUACAUUUUCGGCCUGGCCUGCUCAGGAUAACAGUGCUCAUCAAUGUCAAAAUGUGACCCUGGACCAGAAAACCAGUCAUAAGGGUCCCCGGAGACGCUCACGCUGGGCCGCUGUCCGUGAUGCAUUAAUCAUGUCCGAAUCCUCAAGACAAAGAGCCACGCGUUUCUCGUCUGCAUGUGAAAUGAUGCGACGCGGGCCUGCCACGAGGUUAAACUCUCAAACGUGCUCUUUGAUGGGCUUUAAUGAGAUGUCAGCGCCCAGACGGAUUUCUCUGCUGUCCCGUAAAACAGGCCACGGAGCACGAAGCCGCAUCUCUGUGAUCUGCUCAAAAACACACCUAGAUGUGUCGCAACACUUUCACACAAUCACCGCGUCAGGAGUGUGACGUCUGUCAAGCAGGAUUUAAGUUGAGUUUAUGCAAAGAGGCACCCCAGACAGCAAGCAGUUUCGGUCCAGAUCCGGCCCACAUCCGGCCCCCCAUGGAUUUCACACAGGCCAGAUGUGGGCCGGAUCUGGGCCAACACUAUGUUGUUAUCUGAGACUAAACUGAAAGCCCUUUCAGAUCAGAACCGUGAGUCAAACCUGCUUCAUACUCAUCAACUUCU
ensembl:lncRNA